rnacentral:rRNA from 1 species
CCCGCUGAACUUAAGCAUAUCAAUAAGCGGAGGAAAAGAAACUAACAAGGAUUCCCCUAGUAACUGCGAGUGAAGCGGGAAAAGCUCAAAUUUAAAAUCUGGUGGCCUUUGGCCAUCCGAGUUGUAAUUUAGAGAAGCGUCUUCCGCGUUGGACCGUGCACAAGUCUCCUGGAAUGGAGCGUCGUAGAGGGUGAGAAUCCCGUCUUUGGCACGGACGCCCAGUGCUUCUGUGAUGCGCUCUCGAAGAGUCGAGUUGUUUGGGAAUGCAGCUCAAAAUGGGUGGUGAACUCCAUCUAAAGCUAAAUAUUGGCGAGAGACCGAUAGCGAACAAGUACCGUGAGGGAAAGAUGAAAAGCACUUUGGAAAGAGAGUGAAACAGUACGUGAAAUUGUUGAAAGGGAAACGCUUGAAGUCAGUCGCGUCGUCCGAGACUCAGCCUCGCCUCGGCUUGGUGUACUUCUCGGACGACGGGUCAGCAUCAAUUUUGCCCCUUGGAUAAUGGCGAGGGAAAUGUGACACCUUUGCGGGGUGUGUUAUAGUCUCUAGUCGCAUGCAAGGGUCGGGAUUGAGGAACUCAGCACGCGCCUUCGGGCGUCGGGGUUCGCCCACGAUACGUGCUUAGGAUGUUGGCGUAAUGGCUUUAAACGACCCGUCUUGAAACACGG